rnacentral:lncRNA from 1 species
UAGGAACCGCUGAUCCUGUAAACGUUGUGAGCAAAUUGAGAAAGUAUUGGCCGACGACAGAUAUAAUAUUAGUUGGGCCAGCAAAGGAGCCGGAGAAGCCAAAGGAGGAGCCAAAGAAGGAAGAGCCGAAGAAGGAAGAGGAAGCUAAGAAAGAAGAGCCAAAGAAAGAAGAAGAAGCUAAGAAAGAAGAGCCCAAAAAAGAAGAACCCAAGAAAGAAGAAGAAAAGAAAGAGGAAGAGAAAAAGAAAGAAGCGGCACCGGCACCGGUACCACCACCGGAUCCUGUUUUAGAGCUUGUUAAAGCUUACAGAGCUUAUAAUCCUCACUUGACCACUCAUUACCAUGUUCAAAGCAUUGAGGAGAAUCCAAACGCUUGUGUUAUUUGUUAAUUUCUCAACAGAAACUAAAGACAUUUUGCUAAGUUGGUGACUUGAUUUGAAUGUCAUCAAUUCUUAUAGUAAGCAGGCAACAUCAAGAUAUCAAGGCAAUAUCAAGAAAUCAAACUUGUGUAUAUAAAAAG